AUUAAAGGUUGCAAAUAUAAAGUAUUGAACAGGAAACCAGACAUACAUCUUGAUUGGUUCCUUGUCCUUAAUUGGUUCAUCCUAAGCAGUAUACAAAGUUGCACAAAACCAGUUUACCGGCUUUGGGUCAAGGCCAUACAGUUGAGCGUGGAAAUCUGACGACUACGGACUGUGUUAGCAUCCAGGAAAAAUGAGUGAAUUUCACAAAAUAAACAGAGAAACUCUCCAGAAAUUGAAAGAUGUUGCAAAUAAAUUAAGGAUUCAUAGCAUUGAAUCAACUGACGCAAGUAACUCAGG
rnacentral:lncRNA from 1 species